GGCUCGUCUGACUUUGUUACUUAUUGUUCUUCUCUCUAUUGCUUUUGUGAUUGUGAGCGGAGGUAAUGAUACGAACUCCUCUACAACUCCAGCAACGCCGAAGAUGCCAAAUGCUAAGCCACCUUCAGUGCCUGGGGCAACGACUGUAACCAAAUUAAUAGAAGCAGCUGAAGAAAUACCGAAAGCAAUAGUAAACACUUGUGUUGACACCUUUGAAGCGUUCGGAAGUUUAUUUGGUAAUCCAUUUGGUUAAAAGAAGAUCCGUUAUAAAUGAUUUCAUUAU